rnacentral:rRNA from 1 species
AGCUCAAAUUUAAAAUCUGGCGGCCUUUGGUCGUCCGAGUUGUAGUCUGGAGAAGUGCUUUCCGCGCUGGACCGUGUACAAGUCUCUUGGAACAGAGCGUCAUAGAGGGUGAGAAUCCCGUCUUUGACACGGACUACCAGUGCUUUGUGAUGCGCUCUCAAAGAGUCGAGUUGUUUGGGAAUGCAGCUCAAAAUGGGUGGUAAAUUCCAUCUAAAGCUAAAUAUUGGCGAGAGACCGAUAGCGAACAAGUACCGUGAGGGAAAGAUGAAAAGCACUUUGGAAAGAGAGUUAAACAGUACGUGAAAUUGCUGAAAGGGAAACGCUUGAAGUCAGUCGCGUCGUGCAGAACUCAGCCUUGCUUUUGCUUGGUGCACUUUCUGUACGACGGGCCAGCAUCAAUUUUGACCGUCGGAAAAGGGCUGAGGGAAUGUGGCACCUUCGGGUGUGUUAUAGCCUUCAGUCGCAUACGGCGGUUGGGAUUGAGGAUCGCAGCGCGCCGCAAGGCAGGGGUUCGCCCACUUUCGCGCUUAGGAUGCUGGCAUAAUGGCUUUAAACGACCCG